CUUGGUCAUUUAGAGGAAGUAAAAGUCGUAACAAGGUUUCCGUAGGUGAACCUGCGGAAGGAUCAUUAUCGAAAUUAUAGGUGAGGGUUGUAGCUGGCCUCUCGGGGCAUGUGCACGCCCGAGCCCUUAAUCCACACACACCUGUGAACCUAUUGUAAGGGCCCUUAAAAAAGGCCUUUACGUCUUAUCAUCAACCCAUCGUAUGUCUCAUAGAAUGUAAAUAUAUGUCCUCGCCUUAAAAAGCGUUGAUAAACUUAUACAACUUUCAACAACGGAUCUCUUGGCUCUCGCAUCGAUGAAGAACGCAGCGAAAUGCGAUAAGUAAUGUGAAUUGCAGAUUUUCAGUGAAUCAUCGAAUCUUUGAACGCACCUUGCGCUCCUUGGUAUUCCGAGGAGCAUGCCUGUUUGAGUGUCAUUAAAUUCUCAACUCCGAUCGAUUUGUUUCGACUUCGGAGCUUGGAUUUUGGAGCGUGCUGGCGUCGGUCGGCUCCUCUUAAAUGCAUCAGCGGAAUCUAACGUUUCGGACGUCAGUGUGAUAAUCAUGUUGCGCUGUCUGUCUGAUCCGAAAGCCCGCUCACAAUGGUCUUCGGACAACUUCAUAUCAAAUUUGACCUCAAAUCAGGUAGGACUACCCGCUGAACUUAAGCAUAUCAAUAAGCGGAGGA
rnacentral:rRNA from 1 species